ensembl:lncRNA
UAUCACUACAAACUGCCUGUUUGACGCUACAAAUGAUCAUAAUGGACUCCCCUGAAUAUCAGUGGACUGUUAUAGUCCCUCAUCUCUUAUCUCUGACGGUUUCUUCAAUUUGCACUUGAUCUAUGAAGGGGCGACUGAGCUAUUUGUUGUGAUGAAUCCAAGCAGAGGCCACUUUAAGGUGUCCAUUACUGCUCUGAAAAGAUGGUCAAAAUGUGAGAGAAGUCUGUCUGUGGCCUUUCAGUGAUACAGAAUACACUCUUGGUGAAGCAUGCAUGAAUAUUUCUGAGCAGCUGUGAAGUUUAAAAAGCGUGCUCACCAAUUCAGGUCUGCAUACGUCUGAAGUUAUCAUUUUAUUUGAGAUAACGUUGGUAUUUACACGGCUCCUUAAGAUGCACGAACCAAUGCAAGUGUUUGAGGUUUAAAAUGAGAACUGGAUAGUGACAUCAUUUGACAUUUGGAGCUGACUGGUUGUCGUCAACAGGAGGAAUCUGAUUCUCCUGUCACACCUGCUUCCCCGGGUUUUUUUUUUUUUUUACUCUGCUCCUUUUUCUCUGAGGAUUUACUCUUUUGUAAUUUCUCUGCUCUUUUUUUUUUAAAGCUUUUAAGCUGAGAAAAGAAACGAUUCCUAGCAAAUGCCUGAAUACCCGUCACUGUUUGUGGCGUAAUCACGAUAAAGAUAAAUGAGUGAAAAGCCAGAUGAGUUGCCCUUUAACCUUAGUCCCCCCCUUGUAUAAUCCACACACCCCCCCCCCCCCCCCCCCCACACACACACACACACACACACACACGCCCGUGGAUCAAUAAUACCAUUUGCAAUAAUCCUGUUUGCUAUAACCCUUCCUGGCGUGUUGGAUAGAUGGUUUACUAUUUUAGGAUCCUCAGAAGAAGCACGCAGCAGCCAUUACUGCUGAAUAGUCUGCCCAUUGUGGCCAUUGUGCAGCCCAAAAUUGGUCUCAUUAUGGUUCACAUCUACUUAUGUGCAGAGUGUUUCACUGCAGAUGGACACUUUCACACAAUCUCGUAUUUACUUCCACCAAAAACAACUGGUCUACCUGAAUGCAUGAGAUUAGUUGCUUUUGAUUCCUGCUUAACGUGUAAUCAGGGCACAUCUUUGGGGACAUUUUCAUGUUGUCA